GAGCUCUUUCUGAGAUGAAGAGAACUCUCAAUGUCAAGAUUUCAACAAGAAGAGAAUGGAAUACACGAUACGGACAUCCAUAAAAAUUCUUCAGAGGGUGUUUUACUACUGAGCUGCAAA
rnacentral:lncRNA from 1 species